rnacentral:rRNA from 1 species
UACAGAGGGUGCGAGCGUUAAUCGGAAUCAUUGGGCGUAAAGCGCGUGUAGGCGGCCAGAUAAGUCCGCUGUGAAAUCUCGAGGCUCAACUUCGAGCUGUCGGUGGAAACUGUCUGGCUAGAGUCCGGAAGAGGAGAGUGGAAUUCCUGGUGUAGCGGUGAAAUGCGCAGAUAUCAGGAAGAACACCCGUGGCGAAGGCGGAUCUCUGGGCCAUUACUGACGCUGAGGAGCGAAAGCGUGGGGAGCGAACAGG